UUCCAGCCCAGGUGUGGCCACUUUGACCUCCCCACCCACUCCCCUUUUUAAUUCCCCCCACCAAGGCAGAAACCCUAAGCUGUGCCCAUCUGGGCAGAGGGAUCCUCCUCCUCCUGUCAUCACUGUGCACUGCUGUGAAUAACUUACCUGUGUGUCCUUGAAACACUGGAGGCUGAAUGUAGAUCUCUCCAAAGCCAUGCAGGAUGAGCAAGCUCAUCUACCUCAGCCUCUCCUCAGAGGGCAGAUGCUUAAGUUCCCACCAUCUCAGUGGUUCUCUGUGGAUCUGAAUCCAGUUUACUGAUCUUUUGUCUUGUACUGAUGGGCACAAAAGUGGAUGGAUCUCUAUACUGGAUGUAGUCCAGUAUAGAGAGUUAUAGCUGCUUCCUGUCUCUGUUCAUACAGUCUGAGCUAUCCUUUGCCAUCUUUUCUCCCAGUUACUGCUGGCCCAAGUGCUGUUUGCUGCCCAUCAGAACCCUCAGGGUCUUUCCUGUAAGGCAGCUCCUCAGGAAGUUUGCCUCAGUCUAUCAGGGAAAUUCCUUUCAAGGGAUAGGGCUUUACACAUAUCCUUCUUGAAUUCUAUGAGUUUCCUGCUGGCCAGUUCAUGCCACCUGUUCAUAGAAUCAUGGAAUGGAAGGGACCUCCAAGUGUCAUCUAGUUCAUCCCCUGUGCAGUGAUCAAGAACAUUUUCCAUUAGGAUGGAAGUCCUUCCCUACAGCAAACUGAUUGGUGACCCCCAGUUUUGUAUCAGCUGCACGCUUGAAAGCAUAAAUAGUACUGUGAGGAAAAUAAGCACAGAUUUUGUCAGAAAAGCCAGGUAGUUUUUUUUACAUAUCACAUUUUUAAAAGUUGUGAAUAGAUCAGUACACAUUGCAUGGACCUGAAACAAUGUGCCUGUAUUAGGUUAAGAGAGGGGAACACAGAGGCAGUAGGUGAAAGGAGAAGCAGGUAUUUUAAGAUGGAGAAUAAUGCUCUUUUGUGAAGGAAAAAAAACCACACCCAAACCAAGAAAGUAGAUUUUCUCACUGAGAAAAGUUAAGUGGGGAGGGUGAAGAACAUUAAACUCUGACUAGCUAGACCAUUACCUCUUUCCCUGCUGUUUAUUUCUCCUUUUUUCAUUCUCAAUCUCUUUAGGAAGAAAGUGAAAUCUGUACAGCUGCUGUUUGUUAUUAUUUCAAUGUUAUAAAAUGAAAUUUUAUAGAAUAUCCCCCAGCAGUAGGAGAGUUUCAGGCUAGUGGCAGAUUACUCAUAAGUGAUAAGAAACAGUUUAGUAAUAAGCUUCUCUUCAGCUAAAUAUAACAUACACACUUUAUAUAGUGUGGAGUGUAGGGAAACAGUUUUAUACUCCAAGCUUUCCUGCCAACUUAGAGUUACAACGGUUAUGAACACAUACUUUCUUAAGCAGAAAUAAAUAUUUCUGGUGAUUAAAAUAGCAGGAACAUGUGAGAUCACAAUCAGGAUUCAAUGCAUGUGGAACGUCAACUGAAUUUGAAGAAAUAUCUGUUACUCUGUAAUAAGAAAUCAAGGUGUGGAAAGGGACAAAGAACAUCGAUGUUUAGUUCAUCUAAAGAUAUCUAUAUUCAAUGAUACAGUUCUAUACAUAAUCUAUAUAUGUUAACAAAAUAAACCAAAUGAACAUUGAA